UUGUGAUGUGCUAGCCAGGCACAGCUGGUGGAGAGCGCUUUAAAAUUACUAAACCUUUUUGAGUUUUCAAAAAAAGAUUUGACAAGUAAUGAUGUUUAAUUUAUAUAGCACCUUUCCCAAGCUCAUGGAUGCUACAAUAACAGGUGGUUCAUGUACUUUUGGCUCUUACUGAUGAAACAUGAGGAAUCUAGCAGUGCCCAGCAUGCAGCUCAAAGGUGCAACUCUGAGAUGGCCAUUAAAGAGCCGAAAAUGACUGAAGGAUGCAAGAAAGGAGAGGAUGAAACGGGAGAGCUCUGUCUAGACAGGCGGGUCAUCUGAGUGACUAUAACUGAGCAUCAACAAAGACCCUGAGGCCUUCCGCUUUUAUGCAAAAAAUAAACAUUUAUAUGGAUGGCUUGAGCAUUUCACACUCGGAUAUGGAUAAUGGAUCUGGAUGCGCAGCCUUCAAAACAACUUCAUUCUCCAUUUGCUGAUGCGAACUCGACAUUUGAAAUGGGCAGCGGCAAACAACGAGCUGAUGAUAGAAGAAGCUUCCACGCAUAAUCAUCCAUCAAAGCGACUGUCAAAACCCGCUAUGCUUCUCUGUCUUUAUAACGCUGUUAGAGGACUUUCUAUGACUAAAGAUACAAUAAACAGAUGUGACGAUUGCUGUUGAACAUGACAGUUGUUGCAAGUCUGCAUUUUAAAGUCGUGAACAUAGUCCGUCUGAGCAUAUUUGGGAUGUUUGGACAGAUUGCUUGUACGUGGCGAUGCUCGAUUGGAUUCAUCUUCAUAGACUUCUGGAUAGAGAGGAAUCUGAUUGGUUGCUGUAUUACAAAUGUGAAUGUAAAACAGUUGUAUCUCACCAGCCAGCAGACUUCUAAAAAGAAACGUGUUUGACCCUGAGAGGCGAAGCAUUAACAGAGCAAAAGAGGUAAUUGAGAUGUACUAGACGACUCUUUUUGUGGAACGCUCUUCGCAUUUACUUCAUUGAAAGUGAAAGAUAUGAAAGAAGUAAUCCCAGUAUUACACUUUACCUAUAGCACAUGUGUGGGUGUGUGUGUGCACAUGAACUUCCCCCUCACAGAUCCUCUGUUUAAGUACAUCACGUCUAUGUGUUACACCAGAGAGUGUUUUACUACUGCAGUCCAAGCUGUUGUAGCCUCAUUCUGCUCUUUUUCUUUGUUCUCUCCCUCUCUCCUCCAUCUCUGCAGAUCAUUAAGAGUGUUGUACUGCCACAUACCCAAGAAUAGAGGACAUAAAAAGACAAAUAAGGCCAUAAAAUCUCCUUACGCCUGUGCAUACAAAUACAUUUGCUCACUUUCUCAAUGCCCCUCCUUCACUUUUUUUUCUCCAACAUUCAGUAUCUAUUCUUUCAUUCUUGCUUUAUUUCUGAUAUAAUAUCUUCUACAUGAUUUAUAA